UACGGGGGGAGCAAGCGUUGUUCGGAUUUACUGGGCGUAAAGCGCACGUAGGCGGCCUGGUAAGUCUCACUGUGAAAGCCCGGGGCUCAACCCCGGGAGGCCAGGGGAUACUGCAAGGCUAGAGACAAGUAGAGGCUGGUAGAAUUCCGGGUGUAGCGGUGGAAUGCGUAGAGAUCCGGAGGAAUACCUGAGGCGAAGGCGGCCAGCUGGGCUUGAUCUGACGCUGAGGUGCGAAAGCGUGGGGAGCGAACAGG
rnacentral:rRNA from 1 species